UACGUAGGGUGCAAGCGUUAAUCGGAAUUACUGGGCGUAAAGCGUGCGCAGGCGGUUUUGUAAGUCUGUCGUGAAAUCCCCGGGCUCAACCUGGGAACUGCGUUUGAAACUACAAGGCUAGAGUGUGGCAGAGGGGGGGUGGAAUUCCACGUGUAGCAGUGAAAUGCGUAGAGAUGUGGAGGAACACCGAUGGCGAAGGCAGCCCCCCUGGGUUAACACUGACGCUCAGGCACGAAAGCGUGGGGAGCAAACAGG
rnacentral:rRNA from 1 species